GACGGAGGGUGCUAGCGUUGUUCGGAAUUACUGGGCGUAAAGGGCGCGUAGGCGGCCAUUCAAGUCGGGUGUGAAAGCCCGGGGCUCAACCCCGGAACGGCACUCGAAACUGGGUGGCUCGAGGACGAGAGAGGAAAGUGGAAUACCCAGUGUAGAGGUGAAAUUCGUAGAUAUUGGGUGGAACACCGGUGGCGAAAGCGGCUUUCUGGCUCGUUACUGACGCUGAGGCGCGAAAGCGUGGGGAGCAAACAGG
rnacentral:misc_RNA from 1 species